rnacentral:rRNA from 1 species
UACGUAGGGUCCGAGCGUUAAUCGGAAUUACUGGGCGUAAAGCGUGCGCAGGCGGUUUUGUAAGCCAGAUGUGAAAGCUCGGGGCUCAACCCCGAGUCGGCCGUGCGAACUGGGCUCACUGGAGCAUAGUAGAGGCAGGUGGAAUUCCGGGUGUAGCGGUGGAAUGCGUAGAGAUCCGGAAGAACACCGGUGGCGAAGGCGGCCUGCUGGGCUAUGGCUGACACUGAGGCGCGGACAGCGUGGGGAG